rnacentral:rRNA from 1 species
CCUACGGGAGGCUGCAGUGAGGAAUAUUGGUCAAUGGGCGGAAGCCUGAACCAGCCAAGUCGCGUGAGGGAAUAAGGCCCUACGGGUCGUAAACCUCUUUUGCCGGGGAGCAAGGGCGGGGACGUGUCCCGGCCCGGAGAGUACCCGGAGAAAAAGCAUCGGCUAACUCCGUGCCAGCAGCCGCGGUAAUACGGAGGAUGCGAGCGUUAUCCGGAUUUAUUGGGUUUAAAGGGUGCGUAGGCGGGCUUUUAAGUCAGCGGUAAAAAUUCGGGGCUCAACCCCGUCCGGCCGUUGAAACUGGGGGCCUUGAGUGGGCGAGAAGAAGGCGGAAUGCGUGGUGUAGCGGUGAAAUGCAUAGAUAUAACUUAGAACCCCGAUAGCGAAGGCAGCUUACCAGACUGUUACUGACGCUGAAGCACGAGAGCGUGGGUAGCGAACAGGAUUAGAUACCCCUGUAGUC